UGCCCUUAACUCUGGGAUAAGCCUGGUAAACUGGGUCUAAUACCGGAUAGGAGCGCCUACCGCAUGGUGGGUGUUGGAAAGAUUUAUCGGUUUUGGAUGGACUCGCGGCCUAUCAGCUUGUUGGUGAGGUAAUGGCUCACCAAGGCGACGACGGGUAGCCGGCCUGAGAGGGUGACCGGCCACACUGGGACUGAUACACGGCCCACACUCCUACGGGAGGCAGCAGUGGGGAAUAUUGCACAAUGGGGGCAAGCCUGAUGCUGCGACGCCGCGUGAGGGAUGACGGCCUUCGGGUUGUAAACCUCUUUCUUUAGGGAAGAAGCGAAAGUGACGGUACCUGCAGAAGAAGCACCGGCUAACUACGUGCCAACAGCCGCGGUAAUACGUAGGGUGCGAGCGUUAUCCGGAAUUAUUGGGCGUAAA
rnacentral:rRNA from 1 species